ACCCGCACAAGCGGUGGAUGAUGUGGUUUAAUUCGAUGCAACGCGAAAACCUUACCCACCUUUGACAUGUACGGAAUUUGCCAGAGAUGGCUUAGUGCUCGAAAGAGAGCCGUAACACAGGUGCUGCAUGGCUGUCGUCAGCUCGUGUCGUGAGAUGUUGGGUUAAGUCCCGCAACGAGCGCAACCCUUGUCAUUAGUUGCUACAUUCAGUUGGGCACUCUAAUGAGACUGCCGGUGACAAACCGGAGGAAGGUGGGGAUGACGUCAAGUCCUCAUGGCCCUUAUAGGUGGGGCUACACACGUCAUACAAUGGCCGGUACAAAGGGUCGCAAACCCGCGAGGGGGAGCCAAUCCAUCAAAGCCGGUCGUAGUCCGGAUCGCAGUCUGCAACUCGACUGCGUGAAGUCGGAAUCGCUAGUAAUCGUGGAUCAGCAUGUCACGGUGAAUACGUUCCCGGGUCUU
rnacentral:rRNA from 1 species